CAGAGAGUAGUUUAAGAAAAAUUUAGGUUUUGGAAAUCUAAGAUGCCUUAUAGGUCUUUCUGA
rnacentral:tRNA from 1 species